UGGUGGUCAAGUCCAUAUCUCAGAUACUAUAAGCAAUAGGGCUAGUUUAUUCGGUGUAUGGAAGGACUGUAAGGUGUACAUGUCCAACUGGCAGGUGUCAUCUGACCUUGACCUCAUUUUCAUGGUUCAGUGGUUAUAGUUAAAUUUUUGUGUUUUGGUCUGUUUUUCUCAUACCAUAUGCAAUAGGUCUACUAUAUUUGUUGUAUGGAAUGAUUGUAAAGUGUACAUGUCUAGCGGGCAGAUGUCAUGUGACCUUGACCUCAUUUUCAUGGUUCAGUGGUCAAAGUUAAGUUUUUGAGUUUUGGUCUUUUUAUCUAAUGCUAUAUGCCAUAGGUCAACUAUAUUUGGUGUAUGGAAAUAUUUUAUGAUCUUUAUGUCAGUCGAGCAGGUUUUAUUUAACCGUGACCUCAUUUUCAGGGUUCAUUGCACAGUGUUAAGUUUUUGUGUUUUGGUCUAUUUUUCUUAAACUAUAAGUAAUG
rnacentral:lncRNA from 1 species